GUCCACGCCGUAAACGAUGGAUACUAGCUGUUCGGGGCAACCUGAGUGGCUAAGCGAAAGUGAUAAGUAUCCCACCUGGGGAGUACGUUCGCAAGAAUGAAACUCAAAGGAAUUGACGGGGGCCCGCACAAGCGGUUGAGCAUGUGGUUUAAUUCGAUGAUACGCGAGGAACCUUACCAAGGCUUAAAUGUAGAUUGACCGGUUUGGAAACAGAUCUUUCGCAAGACAAUUUACAAGGUGCUGCAUUGUUGUCGU
rnacentral:rRNA from 1 species